ensembl:lncRNA
AUCUGAGCCAGCUGGGAGGCAGGUGAACAGGGAUAAGAUUGCUGAAUGGUGAAGGAUGAACAAAAGGGCAAGUCAUGGAGCGGUUAAGACAGGUGGCCCUGAGCCAGAGACUCGAGAGGAACACAAGCCAUUCAAGACCAGGAGGGGCUCAGACCUCGGGCAGGAGCCGCUGAUCUUCUGACCGCCCAGCCCUAAGCCCAGCACUGGGCUCUCAUCACCUCAUGGCACAUUUGGACCAAGCCUGGAGCACAUGUCUGGGUUUAUGAUGGGCGGAAAUUGUUUGCUGAACAAAAAGGAUUCUUACAUCUUCUGUGGGACGGCCUUGGAGACUGACAUGUAGGGGAAGAGCUGCUCGACUUCUGG